AACUAUAACGGUCCUAAGGUAGCGAAAUUCCUUGUCAGGUAAGUUCUGACCCGCAUGAAAGGCGUAAUGAUUUGGGCACUGUCUCAACAGCCCGCCCGGCGAAAUUGUAGUACCGGUGAAGAUGCCGGUUACCCGCGACAAGACGGAAAGACCCCAUGGAGCUUUACUGUAGCCUAAUAUUGGGUUUCGAUGUUGCAUGCACAGGAUAGAUGGGACACUGGGAAACAAUCGCUUUGGCGGUUGCGGAGUGGCCGUUGGGAUACCAUCCUUGCGAUAUUGGAAUUCUAACCUGCGGCUCUGAAUCGAGUCGGGGGACAUUGUUAGGUGGGCAGUUUGACUGGGGCGGUCGCCUCCUAAAGAGUAACGGAGGCGUUCAAAGGUUCGCUCAGCUUGAACGGAAAUCAAGCAAAAGAGUGCAAACGCAGAAGCGAGCCUAACUGCGAGACUGACGGGUCGAGCAGUAACGAAAGUUGGAGUUAGUGAUCCGGUGGUAUGUGAGUGGAAAUGCCAUCGCUCAACGGAUAAAAGUUACCCUGGGGAUAACAGGCUGAUCUCCCCCAAGAGUCCACAUCGACGGGGAGGUUUGGCACCUCGAUGUCGGCUCAUCGCAUCCUGGGGCUGUAUUCGGUCCCAAGGGUUUGGCUGUUCGCCAAUUAAAGCGGUACGCGAGCUGGGUUCAGAACGUCGUGAGACAGUUCGGUCCCUAUCUGUCGUGGGCGCAGGAUAUUUGAUGGGAGCUGUCCCUAGUACGAGAGGACCGGGACGGACGUACCUCUGGCGCACCAGUUGUUCCGCCAGGAGCAUAGCUGGGCAACUACGUACGGAUCGGAUAAACGCUGAAAGCAUCUAAGCGUGAAGCCGACCCAAAGAUAAGAUAUCCCACUGAUUAGAUCAGGUAAGAUCCCUUGAAGACUACAAGGUUGAUAGGCACGAUGUGUAAGUGGAGUGAUCCAUUCAGCAAGAGUGUACUAAUAGAUCGAGGGCUUGACCAC
rnacentral:rRNA from 1 species